AUCUGUCUGACCUCAACUCUUUCGUGUCGUCUGACCAGAUUGGUGUGUUCUUGGAAAACCCGGAGAACCUUCAGCUGCUCAACAGCACCGUAACCAUCCAGUCCAGCGUAGCCAACUACUACGUAACACAGCUGUACAGUCAGAACCCGUCCUUCAACCCCAUCAGGCUGCCAGGCCAGUUCCUGUGUGGAAUUUCUUCAUUUGCAUUCGAGCUUCUAGGAGCAGACGACAGUUUGGUGCUCAUCCAGCAAAUCAACGUGUUCUGCAAUGGAACCGAGAGCCCUGAGAUCACGUCUGCUCUCGCAGCCAAUCUCCCUUCGCUCUCCUCCUCCACCAUCCAGCUGCUCGGCA